rnacentral:rRNA from 1 species
UGGAGGAAAGCAGGGGAUCGUAAGACCUUGCGCUUUUGGAGCGGCCGAUGUCUGAUUAGCUAGUUGGUGGGGUAAUGGCCUACCAAAGCUUCGAUCAGUAGCUGGUCUGAGAGGACGGCCAGCCACACUGGGACUGAGACACGGCCCAGACUCCUACGGGAGGCAGCAGUGGGGAAUUUUGGACAAUGGGCGCAAGCCUGAUCCAGCCAUGCCGCGUGAGUGAAGAAGGCCUUCGGGUUGUAAAGCUCUUUCAGCCGGGAAGAAAAGGCUGCGAUUAAUAAUCGCAGUUCAUGACGGUACCGGAAGAAGAAGCACCGGCUAACUACGUGCCAGCAGCCGCGGUAAUACGUAGGGUGCGAGCGUUAAUCGGAAUUACUGGGCGUAAAGGGUGCGCAGGCGGUUUUGUAAGUCAGAUGUGA